AUGUUGAUGAUGUUGUUCCUGACCCUCCUGAUAUUUACUCUUUUUAAAGAGAAUGCUGGUGAAGUAGUGAUAAGACCACUCUUCAAAGAGAAACAUGUUUUGGAAGGAGAUGUUGUUACACUGAUCUGCAGCUACUCUGGAAAUGUUCAGAAUCUGCAGUGGUACCAUCAUUUUCCCGGAUCCAAACCUGAAAAUAUAUUUCUUUACUUCGAGAACAAGCCUACAACUAAGAACCGCAUAACCGCUUCAUCUGAUAAAGCAGUCAAACAUAUGAAUCUGACCAUCAUUUCUACACAAGUGACAGACUCUUCUGUGUACUACUGUGCCCUGCGGCCCACAGUGACAGGAAACACAACUACACUGUACAAAAACUGCAAGAGCAAUUAUAUUCAUGACAGAAGACUAUACAGUUAA